rnacentral:rRNA from 1 species
CCUACGGGAGGCAGCAGUGGGGGAUAUUGCACAAUGGGGGGAACCCUGAUGCAGCGACGCCGCGUGGGUGAAGACGGGUUUCGGAGUGUAAACUUCUGUUCUUAGUGAAGAAUAAUGACGGUAGCUAAGGAGCAAGCCACGGCUAACUACGUCCCAGCAGCCGCGGUAAUACGUAGGUGGCAAGCGUUGUCCGGAUUUACUGGGUGUAAAGGGGGCGCAGGCGGGAAGCCAAGUCAGCGGUGAAAACUACGGGCUUAACCUGUAGACUGCAGUUGAAACUGGUUUGCUGGAGUGAAGUAGGGGUAGGCGGAAUUCCGAGUGUAGCGGUGAAAUGCGUAGAUAUUCGGAGGAACACCGGUGGCGAAGGCGGCCAACUGGGCUUUAACUGACGCUGAGGCUCGAAAGUGUGGGGAGCAAACAGGAUUAGAUACCCCGGUAGUC